UACAGAGGGGGCAAGCGUUAUUCGGAAUUAUUGGGCGUAAAGGGCGCGUAGGCGGCCUGGCAAGUGGAAGGUGAAAUCCCUCGGCUUAACCGAGGAACUGCCCUCCAAACUGCUUGGCUUGAGUCCGGGAGAGGUGAGUGGAAUUCCCAGUGUAGCGGUGAAAUGCGUAGAUAUUGGGAGGAACACCAGUGGCGAAGGCGUUCUGCUAGACCGGUACUGACACUGAGGGACGAAAGCUAGGGGAGCGAAUGGG
rnacentral:rRNA from 1 species